GACGAACCGUGCGAACGUUAUUCGGAAUCACUGGGCUUAAAGCGCGUGUAGGCGGAUGGGUACGUCGGUUGCUGAAAUCCCCCGGCUCAACCGGGGAACUGGCACCGAAACGCCCCGUCUCGAGGGACGUAGGGGGACCUGGAACUUCCGGUGGAGCGGUGAAAUGCGUUGAGAUCGGAAGGAACGCCCGUGGCGAAAGCGAGGUCCUGGACGUUUUCUGACGCUGAGACGCGAAAGCUAGGGGAGCGAACGGG
rnacentral:rRNA from 1 species